AUACGGAGGAUGCGAGCGUUAUCCGGAUUUAUUGGGUUUAAAGGGUGCGUAGGCGGACAAAUAAGUCAGUGGUGAAAUCACUCAGCUUAACUGAGUAACUGCCAUUGAUACUGUUAGUCUAGAAUGUAAAUGGAGUAGGCGGAAUGAAUCAUGUAGAGGUGACAUUCAUAGAUAUGAUUCAGAACACCGAUCGCGAAGGCAGCUUGCUAAGAUACAAUUGACGCUGAGGCACGAAAGCGUGGGUAGCAAACAGGAUUAGAUACCCUGGUAGUCCACGCUGUAAACGAUGAUAACUCGUUGUCGGCGAUGCACAGUCGGUGACUGAGCGAAAGCGAUAAGUUAUCCACCUGGGGAGUACGAUCGCAAGGUUGAAACUCAAAUGAAUUGGCGGGG
rnacentral:rRNA from 1 species